ACACGAACGUUAUUCGGAAUUACUGGGCUUAAAGGGUGCGUAGGCGGCGCGGUAAGUAGGGUGUGAAAUCCCUCGGCUCAACCGAGGAACUGCGCUCUAAACUACCGUGCUUGAGGGAGGUAGAGGUGAGCGGAACUUAGGGUGGAGCGGUGAAAUGCGUUGAUAUCCUAAGGAACACCGGUGGCGAAAGCGGCUCACUGGAUCUCUUCUGACGCUGAGGCACGAAAGCUAGGGUAGCGAACGGG
rnacentral:rRNA from 1 species